GCAUUGGUGGUUCAGUGGUAGAAUUCUUGCCUUCCAUGCUGGAGACCUGGGUGUGAUUUCUGACCGAUGCA
rnacentral:tRNA from 1 species